GGGGAAAAGGUUCGUGAAGCUGCACCCCGAGUAAAGCAGCUGCUCACCUGCCAAGCAAGCUAUCAGCACAGCAUUUGCAUUGGAACUGAGAGAAAAAUCCCCAAGGAGCGUGUCUGGGCAGGUGAUUCCAUUGUCCUUAUUACUCAAGCAGCUAUUUCCACAGCCAUAGGCUUGCGACAGCACCUGGCAGCAGCUUCAUGGAGCGAUCCGAGAGUUACAAAACGCCUUCACAACAGCGGACAGAACCGCUCCAUUCAGCCCUCCUCAGCUGAGCUCCCUUUGGCUCCCACCCCCAAGCCACCCCCCUGGAACAGCCCUCCCCAUAUCACAAGGCCGCUCAGAUCACGCCAACAGAACCCAAACCCAAGGAAAUCACAAUAGGAUUCGAAAGCACUCAGGAAAGAGGCCAACCAGUGUUUUUUUCAUGGACAUUAAUAACAGCAGAACCAGGCCAUAAACCCAAUGCCAUAAUCCCCCAACCUUUACUCAGGUGUAGACGUAUGGACUGUGGCUUCACAUAUGUUUGCACAGCGCAUAACAGGCUGAAGGCAGCAUGGAGUAAUAAUUAUUUUAUUCCAGUCUAACACAGAGGACGUGGGCAACAUCCACCAGCACAGGACCCUGAGCACACAGAUAUAGUUGCCACUGCACUAACCAACCAGGGAAGCCAGCAUUUUCUCUCCCUGACAGAGCCGUAAUAAGGCAGGGGACCUGGGGAAGACAAAAAAGAAUGGGGCAGACAUGAACAGCAUCUCAGCACAAGAAAAGCAAAAGGAAAUGCAUCUUUUCCUCUCCCACUGCACGUAACAUUCCCUCAUGCUGAGGAUUUGGUACACAUGGGCAAGUAGAGCCAAAGAAAUUUGCUUAACAUUGUGGUGCAGAAAUGACAUGGUGCCACAGCUGUGCAUCUCUGUGCAGAGCCGAGCUGCCAGUGCAGAGCCACGUUCUGUACUGGAGUGCACAAGUCUGUAUUUCUAACCCCAGCUUCAUCAUGCUCCUCAAUCCUGUGUCUUUACUAGAAGUUUAAGAGCCCCUCAACUGAGAAAGCAGAAGUCCUAUUUGCAAAUGAACAUUUUAGCACUUAGGAAAUUGUCUAAUUAUAAGAACACAGAGCUUGAUGAAUAAAUGCCCCACGAGGGAAGUAAAGAGGACAAUGACAGGCUCUCCUCAGUGGUAUCCCAAGGGGCAAAGGGUAUUUUACAAUAAAGAAAACUCCAUUUAACCACAAAAAAAAACCAAAGUUGUUUUACUGUGAAGAUGGUCAAACACUGGAACAGGUUGCUCAGAGAGGUUGUGGAAUCUUCAUCCUUGGAGAUAUUCAGCAUGGGCAAGAUUGAACUGCUUUUGUCACCUCUCCUUUGAGCUGCAUGGGAAGGGGGAGGUGAACUAGAAGACCUUCAGAGGUCCCCACCAACCUCAGUAAAGUGGGGAUUGUGGCAAGCAUUCCCUGCAUUCUUUGUCCCCAGGAUACUGCCAUAAAACUGAAAAUGCAGCACUGCAUGGUAUGUCCCACUGCACCAGUAUGACUUGCCCAGGUCAGACAUCUCCAUGAAAGCGUGUGAGUGCAAAGUCAGACUAUAAGGGAUCAGAGGAUCUGCAUGAACUAAAUGCCUUCCUCAUCAAAAGAAAUGCAGAAAUCCAGGGAAACUAAACAAAAAGUUAACAAUGUGAAUGUUAGUUUGAAUAUUUAUAUAGACUUGACCCUUCCGUGCUCACACCUCUCACAUUAGCUUGCCAUGAGCUUUGGAAAGGUCAGAUUUUACUGGCAGAAGUGCCCAUGGAAAGCAAAAUUUACAUUUAUGUUUACUUCGGAGAUGUUUACACACUCAGCCAGUCAAGGAGACAAUAACAAUAUUAUGUGUAUUCUCUAGUAAAUUUCAGCUAACUGAUAUGAUCUGGGUACUGAUUUCUUUUUAUGUUAUGUUCAGUCAGUGCAGAAAGGUGAAAAAAGCCCAAAUACUAACAGCUCAUAUCAGUUGUUAACGUGUAAUUAAAACACAUUACAGAAAAUUAUAGCCUAUGUACCAGUGAUGAGCAAGCAUAAAAGGACAGGACUGAAUGCAUAUUCACUACGUAUCUACAAAUGCAACCUUAUUUUCCAUGUGCAGCAGUUGCAUCACACUGCACUACCAAAAAUAAAUGAGGAGCUCCUUUUCCUCCCUCUGUCAUGGAUCAUCUGAGAUAGGACCAGGAGGACCUCCCUUCUCUCUCUGCUUCCCCAAGGAAGUCUCACACUGAUCAAAGCACAAAUGCUGCCUGAAGCACACGGUGACAUUUGUCCUCAGUUCAAGAAGAUACCAGUGGCCCUUAAGAGACCUCACUUUGGUUCCACAUUUGCAAAUCCCCGUGAGCUGUGCAGGCGCAAAUUGACCAUUAGACUUCAAAACAGAAAGGGAAUGGGUUGGUACAGUUCUACAAGCUGAGGGCAGACAGCACUUUCGAAAACUACUCCUUAAUACGUAGCUGCGUCUCAGUUCUGGCACCUAAGUUUUAAAAACUAGGCUUGAGUUACAGCAAAAGAAAUCAACCAAAAAUACAGAAGAAUAUGUAUAAUCUCUGGAAAAGGGAAUACACAUUCUCAGUACCUGCCUGUUACUGGAAACAGUGCAGCUUUGAUCCUAGCUGCAGAAACUUCUACAGAUGAAAUUACAGUACAAUCCAAAAUACCAACACCACUUUUCUACACAUCCUCAAGGUAGUUCUACUGAUACUGAUCUUGUUAGUGUAAACAUAUGGCUGGCAGCAGUGGGAUGUUCAGCUCAGACUCAAUAUGUUUGCCUGAGCUAUUGGGAAUACUUUUGGCAACUGAACUUCUGCAAGUGCAGUUACAUCAUUAUUGGUACAGGUACAUGAGAUGGAACGAUCACACCUUCAGCUGGAUGGCAGACAUACUCUGCAAGGCAGAAUAAAUGCUGGAGACCCAGCAAUCAAGCAGCUAUGAUGGCCAAAAAAAAAAGGAGAUUGAGUUUGGGGAGGCCUUAGGCAAACUUUUGGACUGGUGAACGUCUGAGUUUCACUCCAAGAAUGAGAUAUCUUUCCUUUGAUUGGAAGCCAUCACUACAUAAAGUUUUAUAUUCUUCCCAUACACACAGCUAAUGAGAACUCUUGCUUAUUACUGCUGUUGCUGGAUAACCAAAAUGUCACCUUCAUACCUCCUUGUGGGUUGCCAUUCCACUUCAUACUCUAAAAGUGCAGAUGGUCCAUAAAAAAGUGAAAAGCUCAAUGUUUGUGACAAUCACAUCUACCUUAAUGUCUUCCAGGUUCUUGGCUGGGAUAAUGCAUCCUUUUAACACAGCAAAAGUAAACGCCCUUUCAUACAAACUAGACUUCUGUUUUCCACAGAGCUUUUCCAAGUCUUGGGCACAUGGUCAUAGUAAAUUCAGCCUUUGACUUUACCUUCUCUGAUCCAAUAACUGUGUGGCUAGAUUGAAUCCGAGUUUAAAACAACGUCACGACCAGCAGUCUUAGGAUAAAAUCUAAGAGAGGAACCAGAGAGGAUUUGAUCUCCAACCUACCACAUAGGGUCGCGGAAAUAAAAUCUGAAGUCCUAGAACUUUGUGAAUUUGAAUAAGUGGUGAUCUUUGGCCAAGGAAAGCAAUGAAGGUGAAAGAAGGACUUCAAAACAAAUAUUUUCCCGCAUUCCUAAAAGGCCUUCAGUUUAGGGGAAAAAAAGCAUUUAUAAUAAAACCUAAAGCAAGCUCUAAAAACUUCAGAAGCCAAGGGCACAAAGAAGUUCCAAGACAGUCAGAAGAGCUGUAGUUCUGCCUGAAGCACGGGGAGAAAAAACAACAUUAACUUAAUGGCAUCGGUUAAAAAUGAAAUCGGGGUGGAUUUAUUUAUUUAAGCUAUCCAUUCUGAAAUGAUUUUUCUUCCCCUUUUUUAACAUCUGCCUUCUUCUCCUUCAGCUAUUUCGUACCACUGAUUAUUCUGGAAUAAAAAUCUCACCUCACUGAAUUGUAGCACUUCUUAAAGUUAUGCAAUGAAGUAAUAGUUCAGUA